CACGUAGUUAGCCGGGGCUUCUUAGUCAGGUACCGUCAUUUUCUUUCCUGCUGAUAGAGCUUUACGUACCGAAAUACUUCUUCACUCACGCGGCGUCGCUGGAUCAGGGUUUCCCCCAUUGUCCAAUAUUCCCCACUGCUGCCUCCCGUAGGAGUUUGGGCCGUGUCUCAGUCCCAAUGUGGCCGUCCACCCUCUCAGGCCGGCUACUGAUCGUCGCCUUGGUGGGCCGUUACCCCGCCAACCAGCUAAUCAGACGCGGGCCCAUCCCAUACCACCGGAGUUUUUCACACACCUUCAUGCGAAGCUGUGCGCUUAUGCGGUUUUAGCACCUGUUUCCAGGUGUUAUCCCCCGGUAUGGGGCAGGUUGCCCACGCGUUACUCACCCGUCCGCCACUAACUUACACUUCCGUUAGUCAAUGCAAGCAUCUCCUGCUUCUGUGUAAGUCCGUUCGACUUGCAUGUGUUAGGCACGCCGCCAGCGUUCAUCCUGAGCCAGGAUCAAACUCU
rnacentral:rRNA from 1 species